AAUUGGAUUAUCUUAAAUUAGUAUAUAAAGACUGAUUUUAAAAAAAAAUAAAAUAUUUUAUCAAUAUAAAACAUGAUUAAAAAUUUGUAUCUAAUAGGUUUUCUAUAUGCUAUGAUCAUUAUUUUGAUCUUCCUGAUUCAUGGAUCCAAAGGAUGCCCUCUAUAUGAUCCAACAGACCCUGAAAUGAUUACUCAACUGCGUUAUAUAAAUGAACAUGGUAAAACUUUCUUCUGCCAUGACUAUUGCACCUCAAAUGAAAAUCUCUGUUGUCAUUGCUACUAACAGCUAACUCUAUAGAUAAUAUAUUAUUUUAUUAUUAAAGACAUAUAACUUUUACUGUACGAAAUUAAAGUUGGGUAUUUAUGAAGGUUUAUUAUAACUAUAUAUAUUUUACAACAAAUAAAAUUGUACUAAUAACUAGCGAUAAUAAAUUUUACUGUAAAUAUA